GAAAAAUGAAGAUAAUUCUAACUGCUUCCUAUUAUUACAGUGAAGACCUCAGAUCCAACUCUGAUUUCACUCUGGUU
ensembl:snoRNA small nucleolar RNA SNORD19